rnacentral:rRNA from 1 species
UACGUAGGGUGCAAGCGUUAAUCGGAAUUACUGGGCAUAAAGCGUGCGCAGGCGGUUCGGAAAGAGAGGUGUGAAAUCCCAGGGCUUAACCUUGGAACUGCACUUCUAACUACCGGGCUAGAGUACGUCAGAGGGGGGUAGAAUUCCACGUGUAGCAGUGAAAUGCGUAGAGAUGUGGAGGAAUACCGAUGGCGAAGGCAGCCCCCUGGGAUGAUACUGACGCUCAUGCACGAAAGCGUGGGGAGCAAACAGG